rnacentral:lncRNA from 1 species
UUAGUUGAUCACUUGAAAAAUAAUUUUGGUGCUCAUUAUAGUAGAGUGGGAAGUUUAUAUAGUCUUGUUCCUGCAGUUGACAAAGAAGGCGAUUAUUGUCUAUCCCAAUAGCGGGGAAAUAUGGGAUGGAAUUGCAAAAAAAUGGCUAGUAAGUUGGGGUUUUUCUCCCUUACUCAUUCCUUUUACUUCUCUCGGUCUUACACACACUGACCUGCAAAUUAAAUGCUAUGUUUUACAUGUCAAUGUAAUUGUGUUUUUCAAUUCCUUUUCAUUGACAGCCAUCAAAGUGUUUUCACGAUGAUGAUUUUGGAUUUCAUGCAACAAGAUGGCGUGAUUUAGGAGCUAAAAUAAUAGGUGGCUGUUGCCGGACUACACCUUCCACCAUUCAAAUUAUUUCAAAUGCCUUAAGAGAGAAUUUUUAAUUGUGCUUAUUGAUGUAACUUUUGUUUUCAAACUGCUGAGAUAUUUUCUAGGCAUUUUCCAUAAUUUGAAGUUUUACAUUUUAGUUGCUUUAAGCUUAUUCAUUCAAAUUGAAAGCUAGUAUUUUUCUGCAAGAGUACAUACUAAUACACUAUACUGAAGUCAGUAUGAUUCUUGAUUCGUAUCUUCUUCCACAGUGCGGCGGUGCAACUAAGUAUUUUUAAGGCUAAAUUACAUCUGUGGUCCUUUAACUUAAUUUUAGGUAGCGUUUUAGUCAUUUAUCUUUUUUUUCUCCCGAUUUGGUCCUUUAUUUUAAUUUUAUGUGACAAUUUGAUAUUUUAUGUUUUAAAAUUUCAACAAUAUUACCGUUUUUUAUACAAAAAUUCAAAAAAAAUUUCAAUCAAAACUCAUAAAAUUAAUUAUAUUCUUCAAUAUAAUACAAAUUUCAUCAAAUUCGUAACACAAAUCUUCAAAUAAACUCAUAUUUUCAUACUUUAUUUGAUAUUGUUAGGAAUAAAGGACUAAAUCGGGAAAAAAAAGAAGAUAAAGGACUAAAACGUUACUUAAAAUUAAGUUAAGGGACCACAAAUGUAAUUUAGCCUAUUUUUAAUUAAGACAACAUACCACCAUAUGUUGUAGCAUUAUUUACAUAGAAGUUUUUUGUUGCAUUGCUGCAGAGUGUGAGAGGGUUCGAGUCCUAUGAAUUUUACAUGAGGGAUAGUGUCUUUAGCUGGAGAAAUGUGUUAACUUCUUUUUAUAUAUAAGUUUGAUGGAUCAAGUUGGGUUUCUUUGUAAAAUAAAUUCUUCUAAAUUAUUUAAAAAUAUUGAUUUUUAUAAUAUAUAUAUAUAUAUAUAUAUAUAUAUAUAUAUGUAAUAUUAAUAUAAAAAAUAAUUUUAAAGAUGAGAAAAUAUCAAUUAAGUCUAAUAUAUAUUAACAUGUUAUUCAUUCAAAUAAAAUAACUUUUGAUUAAGUAUAUGCUUCGAUUCGAACACUCACCAUGCCUUCCCACACCAUAGCCAUCAAUGACAACACCAAUGUCAUCGUCCUUCACACUAUGUCAUCAAUCAAAUUCACUGGUUCAAACUUUCCGGCCUGGAAAGUGCAGUUCAAUUUCCUUCUCAUUGGUUAUGAUUUGCUCAACUUCGUCGAUGUGUCCAAACCGUGUCCAGCGCCAACACAUGGUGAUUAUGAAUACUGGACUAGACAAGAUCAACUCAUUCUCCAUGAAAUUCUCUCCUCUAUGGACAUUAAGUCACCAUACUUAGCAAUGCAAAAAACUGUAAACAAGCAUGGGACACACUGAACAAAACCUUUGCAAGCAAAACGCGAACAUGUAUCAUGAAACUCAAAGAACAACUCACGCUUCACCAAAGGCUCAAAACCUGUCGUUGAAUACCUACAUGGUAUUAAGGCACUCUAUGAUGAACUUGCAGUCAUUAACUCACCACUAGAUGAUAUUGAUCUUGUCAUCCACACCCUCAAUGGCCUUGGUCUGGACUUGACAUAAAUUUGUGCUGCUCUUCGUACCCGACAAAAUCCUAUAGGGUUUGAAGAACUUCAUGAUAUCCUUCAAGAUUAUGAAGCUUAUCUUACAUGUGAGGCUAUCGAUCCUCCUAUUCCCUCGGCUCAUGCCACUUACAAAGGCAAACCAAAUGUACCUACCCACCAAAUAGAACCACUCUACCCACACAUACAAACCCAUCACCACAAUCUUCAAGGAACAUAACUUGUCAAUACCGUGACAAGCCAGAUGGAAAAGUUUGCUAUAAACUUCACGGCUACCCUAACAGGUGCCCAUCUGCUCAUAAGUGCGCCCUGCAACCAUCUGUUGUUGGCUCAAAUUGGAUCUUGGACUCAGGGGCCACUCAUCAUAUCACCUACAAUCUCAAUCAGCUUCAUCUCACCCAACCUUAUCAUGGAACUGAUCAUAUUGCAAUAGGAGAUGGUAAUACUGUUCCUAUAGUUCAAACAGGUAAAUAUGUGUUAGCCACAAAAACUCACCAACUGCACCUAGCAGAGGUUCUACAUGUUCCUCAUAUUUAUAAAAAAUGUGUUAUGUGUUUCAACCUUGUGUCAUACUUAGCCCUAUCCCACUGAAUUUUUUUCUGGUUUCUUUUUUUGUGCGUGAAGGAUUUGAAGACAAGGGAUCCUCUCCUCAAGGGUCUACUAAACAUGAACUCUAUCACCUACCCCAUCAAAUCAUUUAUUCCACGGCCUUUGUUACCAUGGCACCACAUCGUUGGGCAUCCUAG